rnacentral:rRNA from 1 species
AGUGAACGCUGGCGAUAGGCCUAACACAUGCAAGCCGAACGGCAGCACAGGAGAGCUUGCUCUCUGGGUGGCGAGUGGCGGACGGGUGAGGAAUACAUCGGAAUCUACCUUUUCGUGGGGGAUAACGUAGGGAAACUUACGCUAAUACCGCAUACGACCUACGGGUGAAAGUGGGGGACCGCAAGGCCUCACGCGAUUAGAUGAGCCGAUGUCCGAUUAGCUAGUUGGCGGGGUAAUGGCCCAGCAAGGCGACGAUCGGUAGCUGGUCUGAGGGGAUGAUCAGCCACGCUGGAACUGAGACACGGUCCAGACUCCUACGGGAGGCAGCAGUGGGGAAUAUUGGACAAUGGGCGCAAGCCUGAUCCAGCCAUACCGCGUGGGUGAAGAAGGCCUUCGGGUUGUAAAGCCCUUUUGUUGGGAAAGAAAUCCUGUCGAUUAAUACUCGGUGGGGAUGACGGUACCCAAAGAAUAAGCACCGGCUAACUUCGUGCCAGCCGCCUCCGUAACAC